AGUGAACGCUGGCGGCAGGCCUAACACAUGCAAGUCGAACGGCAGCACAGCAGUAGCAAUACUGUGGGUGGCGAGUGGCGGACGGGUGAGGAAUACAUCGGAAUCUGCCUUAUCGUGGGGGAUAACGUAGGGAAACUUACGCUAAUACCGCAUACGACCUACGGGUGAAAGCGGAGGACCUUCGGGCUUCGCGCGAUAAGAUGAGCCGAUGUCGGAUUAGCUAGUUGGCGGGGUAAAGGCCCACCAAGGCGACGAUACGUAGCUGGUCUGAGAGGAUGAUCAGCCACACUGGAACUGAGACACGGUCCAGACUCCUACGGGAGGCAGCAGUGGGGAAUAUUGGACAAUGGGCGCAAGCCUGAUCCAGCCAUGCCGCGUGGGUGAAGAAGGCCUUCGGGUUGUAAAGCCCUUUUGUCCGGAAAGAAAAGCAUCGGGUUAAUACCUCGGUGUUCUGACGGUACCGGAAGAAUAAGCACCGGCUAACUUCGUGCCAGCAGCCGCGGUAAUAC
rnacentral:rRNA from 1 species